rnacentral:lncRNA from 1 species
CAGGAAAGUUCCCUGCUGCCUUCCUUCUUUCACUCAGCAUCAUCUUAAUUAAGCAUCUCUAUUGUGAUGAAGCUUUAGGGGAUCACAUUCUUGUAUGGGUCUUCAGACAACAGAUUAUUACUACAAUAUGAUAAACCACCAGUUUACACUUAGCAACUUCUUUUUACUAAAUCCUUGAUCAUAGAUGGCUUUAUUGAAACUUCCUUUUUUUUGCAGUCUGGAUCCAGCUUCCAGUAAAGAACCUCGAGCCUAGACAGCUGUUCCAGGCAGACCAGGUGGCCUGGCUGCACACUGUCGUUGGCGGACUCAUCCCUGUACCAGGCCUGCACCAUGGCCAGAGCUGGGCCAGGACCCCAUGAGCACCUGCAUGCACGGCCUGCCCCAUCUUGCUGACCCUGCACUGCCAGCCCGAGGAAGAGCCCAUCUUUUACCUGUGCCCCAGAGAGGACAUCAAAAAGUACUGUUGGUGAUCUGGGCCUUCUGGUUUACUGACAACCAGUUCCAAGAGAAAAGAAAGCAGCAAGGCUACUGAACAGAUACCUGGCACGGUGCAUAAAUCCUGAGCAGUGAGCUUUGUGAUGACCUCUAAUCCCAUGGUAGCCGUCAAUGUCAUCCAUUCUCAAGGAAAGCUAGCAUUCUUACGCUUCAUUAGUGAAAACUGGAUUACCUAAUAUCCUGAAUUUUCUGCAUCCUGAAUGUCACAUUCAAGUUUUUGGCCCAGAGGAUC